GAGGAACUUAGCGCCACUAAAGAAUUUCAUCUGAUGCAGGCUUGAGACUAGCUUACAACUUUUUUCCCCAGUCGUCACCUCGAUUCUUGAAUUUUCUAAUUAGCGUGUCGUCAAUUAUAGCACUUAGAGAUGCCCCAGUGACCCAGUUAAUUAAGUAGCACUAGGUACUGUAUACAAUGCGUUUUUCAAAUUCUCUUCUCCACUUUAUCACCUCGCAUCAUUCAGUUAUUUUACAAUAAAUACUCCGUCAUUCGUCUGUGGAUCGUCAUGACGCUGGUCAAUCGGAUCUUCGACCGAGGCUUGCCUCGCCCAUGGAAACGCGUAAUGGACGAAGUCGAUCAACAGCACCGCGGCAUUGAUCAGACACGAAAUGGCCAAAAUCAGUUCUUGCCACCUAAAAAUCCCAAAAAAUCAGGCAUCGAGACUAAAAGACAUUGCGAAUCAGCAAAAAGCAUCUACAACGUCUUACCCAAUUGUUCUGGCGUCUCCUACUACACUGCUGAACCACGAUGCCCAUUGAUAUAUCUCGAACACCCCGCAUAUGAAACUCACGAUGCAUCCCAAGCCGGCAAACACCGUUUCCUACACUUGGCAAGAUUAGUGAAUGGGGUUAUAAUGCGCUUGGAGAAGUUAAUUGACAGGUUUAUUAUGCAGUCAAGUUCACAGUUGGCUUCCUUUAGAGAUACGUGAGACGAAGUACUCACUAUGAAAGUAUGUGGACGUCCCAUCGCGCUCACGGAUAUUUCGGAGAAGUUGACGAUUAUGUACCCGCUAACAAAUGAUGGUAUCAGGAUCCUGAUCCAGUUCGGAUAAAAGACGAGGACUGGUUGGACGUAGCCAUAGGAGGCUAGACAACAACAGCACUAGGAUCAACCAUUGAGGGUUAUCUCACCAAGGAAAUAAAUUUGCACGCCAAGGAUACGUUCAUCAAUCAGUCAAGACUUCCACGUGCAGUUUUACUCCGAGCACCCCAUUGACACAUUCUUGAAAGGCUGAUAAACUCCUUUUAUUCAUUCACGAAGGAUGCACCAAAAAAAAAAAAAAAAAAUGUUACGGGACGAAGGCAGGAAUUAUAAUCAGCUGUCGAAGAUUUAGUACCGCAUUGGCAUGUCCUAGUCCUGGUUGGUUUCGUCUUGGUAUUGCUUCAGGAUAGAUUCACCUGGCCAAAUAGCUUGACGAUGGUAUUUUGCAUAGACACAGGAACCUAUACGAUUAUAUUGAUGGUUAUUUUGCUAGCCUAUGUGCUAGAGCAGCCACAUCAGCUGAUCGUUAGUUUACAGUAAAAAAAAGAAUAGAAUGAUCUCUGCCGGAAGUGGAAACUGCAAUGUUUUAUAAAAGAAAUUCUUAUGAAAGGAAUUGAGGUUCACGGUUAUUGGCGUCGUCGUCUUCGUGAUUGGCAGUAUCAUGGCGUUUCGUAACUACGAAGAAGUGCAAGAUGGGUCAGACGGGAAAGUUUCAAUGCUCGAUUUCCAUCUGGGCAUCAUCCUCUCGGUCACAGCUAUUGUCAUGGUCUUCGACACAUUCCUCGGCAUGAAAUAUAUCGGCGAUGUCAUGAACCGAGACUGAAUUUCAGCACGAUGCUGGACGCCGACGAUUCAAUAAUGACUGGUUAAUUUUUUUCUCUUGAAUGAUUAUUAAUGUUACAUUAUCAUAGCCAGAUACAAUGGAAACAGUAAGAAAUAGAAAAAGCAAAUGUUCGGUCAGGAAUGUUUUUUACUUCUAGACAUAUCUGAAGAUCUUUAUUUCUCAUUGUCUUUGAAGCAUUCAUGGAGCAUCAGGUGGUCUCGGUGAUUUGCGAUUUCCUCCUGACUCCAUCUUCAUCCUCGUCCUCAUCAUCGGUUGAGCUAAAGCCAACAUUCCCUCGGACACGUAGGAGUAGGGCUUUCCAUCUUUCGUCUCUCUCUCUUGGAAGACGAAAACUCUGAGCACCAUCAAAGUAGCUGAUAUGAAAUUGAGGGCUGCUCCCAAGCCCGUGAAGAGAACGGACUAUGUUAAGAAACAAUGUCACAAGAAAAUGAAUGGUCAAACGAUUUUACGGUUCUUACCACAAAAUACUGCGGCUUUCCAGACAGUCCAACGCAUAUCAGUGCAAUUGAUAUUAAG
rnacentral:lncRNA from 1 species